AGUCAGGUCCCCAGGCUGAAACUCCAGUCAUUCUCACUAGAUCUGUCCGAGAGGAAGGAUCUCCUGAAUACCCUAACCAGAAGCCUUAAGUCUCUCGAACUAAAUAACCGUCUAGUAAAAACAUGGACCGCACCCUGUUUCUCAAGCAGCUGCUCCCUCUAUUAAAAACUGCGUCAUUCAGAAGAUCCAGCGAAAGCAGCAUUUACUUCUCAUGCAAGAAGACACACAUUCACUCAUUCACAAGGCACAGAGACAUUCUUUGUUUGUCACAGUCUCUUUUUAUUAUUAUUAUUAUUUUUUUAAGGUAAGUCAGUUCGUCACUUAUUUAUUCUCUCUCUAUAUAUAUAUAAUAUUUUAAGCACAGAAUUUAUUUAACACUGCACUGGUUAUUUUCAGAAUUUAAUGCUUACUAUGCUUUUAAGCAGGCCUUAUGUAACAUUAGAGCAAAUCCAAUUGCAAUUUUUUUUGAGAGCGCUCUGAGGAAUAGUUUAUAUAUUUAUUUUCUGCAGAUCUGUUUUGAUUUUACUGUUUAGCAGCUAUAUGACUAUAUUUCUAAAAUAAAGCUGUCAUUUACAUCCUUA